UUGCAAAAUUAGUUACCGUAUAUCGCCCUGUCUGCCUAACGUGGUGGUUAGGUACUGAUGAUGUAGCCAAAG
rnacentral:hammerhead_ribozyme from 1 species